AACAUCGCGCACCUGCGGGAACCUGCGGAAGGAUCAUUACAGAGUGUAAAAACUCCCAAAACCCAUGUGAACAUACCUUUUUGUUGCUUCGGCGGGAUCGCCCCGGGCGCCUUGUGUGCCCCGGAGUCAGGCGCCCGCCGGGGGACCCAAACUCUUGUUUUUAACGAGUAUCUUCUGAGUAACGUUUUUAAAUAAAUAAAAACUUUCAACAAUGGAUCU
rnacentral:misc_RNA from 1 species